UUUCCUUCCUGGCUUGGUAGCCCCCAGACGUAGGUGAGUUGCAUCGAACUGGGUUAACAAUUGCUUGUGUCUCUUGCAUUACUAUUCUUUAUCUUUAUCCUGUUUGUGUUACUCAUUUAUUAGUGUCGUGACAUUACCUUCGACAUCUCAUAUCUGAUACCAGAAUUUUAAGCCGAACUACGGAGCUCUGACUUUCUCAUUGCACAGUGAGAAUACGUAGGCACGAGGAUUCAGAUUCUCCGUGAGCACCCUAAUUAUUAAAUCUUCAUUCAAAUUUAUUUAUUAUUCCCCAUUCAUUAAUCCAUUACCAUCCCUCAGCAGUAUUAUGUUGCCUGCACUUUGGAACCAAGCACCUUAUCCCUUUGGGUUCCAUGUAUACUUUUGGGCCAGUAACAAAUAUCCACCUUUGAGACAAGAGUUGUUUAUCUUAUUCCAGAAACUUAAUUCCUUUUUUUUGUUAUUCCAAUACAAUUACACCAUGCCUUAGGCCCAUCACUUGUUGGUUUAUGCCAGUUUACUCUUCGGCUCAAAGUUUAUUCUUUCAUGGAUUCAAUAUACCUUUACCCUUUGGUUUUAGACUGUUGGUUCCCUACAGUGAUAUAUUAUUCCUUGUACCAAACAUCAUUUUCCUUUGGGGUCUCAUACUUAUCCUUUUAGUAUGAUUUAAUUGGUGUCCACCUUAUUAACCAAGACCUAUUUGGCUUAUUGCCAGGCAUUUAAUUUUCGGCCCAACCAAAUAGAGUGAUACCAUGCCUUAGGCCCCUCACUUGUUGGUUUAUGCAUGUUUAAUCUUUGGUUUAAAGUUUAUUUACCUUUUUGGGUUCCCAUGAUACCUGAUCGGUCACCAUUUCCAUUGAAUUCCCACCGUUAAUCCGACAUAUUUUCAUCAUUUUGGUAAGAUUUAUGUUUGUUUUUAGUUGCUUCGGAGUCAUUUAUCAUGUUUUGUUGGUUUGGUAUCGCAUUGCAUUCGAUUACAAGUUUAUGUCAAAAAGAUCUCGUUUAUGCUUUGUUUGGUAGUGUCAUUGUUACAGGCCAUUGCACAGGUUUAAAAGCAAUAAUGGUGAAGUUAUGGAUACUCAGAAAGGCAAAAAUAUGAAGAAACAACAGGUCAACACGGGCACCCGUGUGCCACAACACUGCCCGUGUUGUUGAUCAGGCAGAGCAAAAUGGGAGAAGAAAAACAGAGAUCAACACGGGCACCCGUGUGGUGACACACGGCUGUGUUGUUUAAAACAGUGCAUUAACACGGGCACCCGUGUGGAGGAACACGGCCCGUGUUGUUGCCUCUGUAGCUUGUGUUGAAGAUAAUUAUCAUGGAGAGCAACACGGGCACCCGUGUGGUGACACACGGCCGUGUUGUUGGGCACAGCUUGGAAACCCUAACUUUUGCUUUGUGAAGCGAUUCUGCUCAUUAAGGGUAGUUUGGACCUUUUGUUUGGAAGAGAUUGAUCUGAAGCUAUAAGAAGGCUUGGAAGAGAAAGGAGAAGGGACUUUUGGACGUAUGAAAAGAAACAUUACACCAGAGAAGAUAGCUACUACGGAGGAUUCGAAGACGGCGAGAUUCAAGGGCAUCACCCAUUGAAGAUCAAAAUCUCCUAAUUCUUUGUAAUCUUUAAUUUCUAUACUAUGCUUUCUUUGAAUACUAUGAGAGGCUAAACCCCCUAUGUUAGGGGGGUGAUCCUGAUUUGAUCGUAUGUUAUGAAUUUGAACAAAUGAUUUCCUUAUUGC
rnacentral:lncRNA from 1 species